AUUGCAUUAAGUGUGCCCACUUCAACUAUUGUGGUUUUGUUUCAUUUGUUAGAGUUAGCAAAAGCGAUUUUGGCUAAUGGAUUACAUAUUCCUUAAAUAACCUCAUAUGAAAGCUGAUUCAGAUAUUACGAUAAAAAAAAUGCUUUUAUAAUGGCUUCUUAGGAUUUUUUAGGGCUAGCAUUCCAUGUUGAAGACUAAAGUUCUUUUUAUAUGUACAUUGAUA
rnacentral:misc_RNA from 1 species